CAAGCAGUAUUGUCCAUUGAUGUCAUAGAGAUUGUACCAAGGUGGAUUUCAAAAGUCCAAGGAUCCAAAGGUCUAUAUAUGGACACACCAAGACAACUGAUUUUUUUUCUGCUUAAGGAUGUACUUAGAUUGGGAAAGGAUUUAAAAUGAGAUUGAGUGCAUGUCCAUCUGCACAGAGUCCAGAUACUCCAGGAUUGAACAAAAAACAAAAACAUGCCAAAGUAAAUCGGGAAAGAAGAGCAAAGUGGAAUGAACAACAG